rnacentral:rRNA from 1 species
AACGAACGCUGGCGGCAUGCCUAACACAUGCAAGUCGAACGAGACCUUCGGGUCUAGUGGCGCACGGGUGCGUAACGCGUGGGAAUCUGCCCUUGGGUUCGGAAUAACAGUUGGAAACGACUGCUAAUACCGGAUGAUGACGUAAGUCCAAAGAUUUAUCGCCCAAGGAUGAGCCCGCGUAGGAUUAGCUAGUUGGUGAGGUAAAGGCUCACCAAGGCGACGAUCCUUAGCUGGUCUGAGAGGAUGAUCAGCCACACUGGGACUGAGACACGGCCCAGACUCCUACGGGAGGCAGCAGUGGGGAAUAUUGGACAAUGGGCGAAAGCCUGAUCCAGCAAUGCCGCGUGAGUGAUGAAGGCCUUAGGGUUGUAAAGCUCUUUUACCCGGGAUGAUAAUGACAGUACCGGGAGAAUAAGCUCCGGCUAACUCCG